rnacentral:rRNA from 1 species
AAUCCAUAGGUUAAUGAGGCGAACCGGGGGAACUGAAACAUCUAAGUACCCCGAGGAAAAGAAAUCAACCGAGAUUCCCCCAGUAGCGGCGAGCGAACGGGGAGGAGCCCAGAGCCUGAAUCAGCAUGUGUGUUAGUGGAAGCGUCUGGAAAGGCGCGCGAUACAGGGUGACAGCCCCGUACACAAAAGCGCAUGUGCUGUGAGCUCGAUGAGUAGGGCGGGACACGUGGUAUCCUGUCUGAAUAUGGGGGGACCAUCCUCCAAGGCUAAAUACUCCUGACUGACCGAUAGUGAACCAGUACCGUGAGGGAAAGGCGAAAAGAACCCCGGCGAGGGGAGUGAAAAAGAACCUGAAACCGUGUACGUACAAGCAGUGGGAGCACAGGUUUACCUGUGUGACUGCGUACCUUUUGUAUAAUGGGUCAGCGACUUAUAUUCUGUAGCAAGGUUAACCGAAUAGGGGAGCCGGAGGGAAACCGAGUCUUAAUUGGGCGUUAAGUUGCAGGGUAUAGACCCGAAACCCGGUGAUCUAGCCAUGGGCAGGUUGAAGGUUGGGUAACACUAACUGGAGGACCGAACCGACUAAUGUUGAAAAAUUAGCGGAUGACCUGUGGCUGGGGGUGAAAGGCCAAUCAAACCGGGAGAUAGCUGGUUCUCCCCGAAAGCUAUUUAGGUAGCGCCUCGUGAAUUCAUCUCCGGGGGUAGAGCACUGUUUCGGCUAGGGGGCCAUCCCGGCUUACCAACCCGAUGCAAACUGCGAAUACCGGAGAAUGUUAUCACGGGAGACACACGGCGGGUGCUAACGUCCGUCGUGAAGAGGGAAACAACCCAGACCGCCAGCUAAGGUCCCAAAGUCAUGGUUAAGUGGGAAACGAUGUGGGAAGGCCCAGACAGCCAGGAUGUUGGCUUAGAAGCAGCCAUCAUUUAAAGAAAGCGUAAUAGCUCACUGGUCGAGUCGGCCUGCGCGGAAGAUGUAACGGGGCUAAACCAUGCACCGAAGCUGCGGCAGCGACACUGUGUGU